CAUAGUGACGACAUUUGGUGUUGUCAUAAAUAAGGCUAGCCAUGUCUUGAAUGACAACACCAAAUGAUUUUUUCCAUUAGUAUGUAUAAACAUAUUAGAUGCCUCCAUAUGACUUGUUUUUGAGGUUCGCAACAUACAUUUGCAUAUUAAGUGCAUGGUAAUAGUUGAAAUUCAAGAAAGGUGAAGUCAUCCAAAAUCCCAAACAAGAGGGCAAUUCACCAUAGAGGGAGUAUUUCUUUUACUCUUGCUUUCAUUUUCAAACAUUGAGGACACUGUACACUUUAAGUGUGGGGGUUUUUUAAUUAUGGUGAUUUGAGAAAAAUGGUUCAGAAGUUUCAUAAUUUUGUCAAUUUUAGAAGAAGUUCCAUAGCCAAUAGUAGUCAAAAUUCUCCCUUUGUAGUCAAAUUUAUGUGACUUAAGAAUCUUAUUUCCUAUUCGACUUGGAAAUAGCUCUUAUGUGACCAGGAUUUUUACUAUGAUGAAAGUAUAUCUUGUAAAAUGGAAAUAAUUAUGUCUUGAA